rnacentral:rRNA from 1 species
GAUGAACGCUGGCGGCGUGCCUAAUACAUGCAAGUCGAGCGAACGGACGAGAAGCUUGCUUCUCUGAUGUUAGCGGCGGACGGGUGAGUAACACGUGGAUAACCUACCUAUAAGACUGGGAUAACUUCGGGAAACCGUAGCUAAUACCGGAUAAUAUUUUGAACCGCAUGGUUCAAAAGUGAAAGACGGUCUUGCUGUCACUUAUAGAUGGAUCCGCGCUGCAUUAGCUAGUUGGUAAGGUAACGGCUUACCAAGGCAACGAUGCAUAGCCGACCUGAGAGGGUGAUCGGCCACACUGGAACUGAGACACGGUCCAGACUCCUACGGGAGGCAGCAGUAGGGAAUCUUCCGCAAUGGGCGAAAGCCUGACGGAGCAACGCCGCGUGAGUGAUGAAGGUCCUCGGAUCGUAAAACUCUGUUAUUAGGGAAGAACAUAUGUGUAAGUAACUGUGCAUAUCUUGACGGUACCUAAUCAGAAAGCCACGGCUAACUACGUG